GAUGAACGCUGGCGGCGUGCCUUAUACAUGCAAGUCGAGCGAUCAGACGAGUUGCUUUCUCCUCUGACGUUAUCGGCGUACGUAUUAGUUCCACGUGGAUACCCUACCUAUAAGACUGGCAUCACUUCGUGUAAUCGUACCUCAUACCGUAUAAUAUUUUAAACCGCAUGGUUCAAUGGUGAAUGUCGGUUUUCCUGUUUCUUAUAGCUGGUUUCGUGUCGAAUUAGCUAGUUGGUAAGGUAAUGGCUUACCAAGGCGACGAUGCGUAGCCGACCUGACAGGGCGAUCGGCCACACUGGAACUGAGACACGGUCCAGACUCCUACGGGAGGCAGCAGUAGGGAAUCUUCCGCAAUGGGCGAAAGCCUGAAGGAGCAAUGCCGCGUGAGGGAUGAAGGUCUUCGGAUCGUAAAACGCUGUUAGUAGGGAAGAAAAAAUGUGUAAGUAAAUAUGCACGUAAUGACGGUACCUAAAGAGAAAGCAACGGCUAACUACGUG
rnacentral:rRNA from 1 species